rnacentral:misc_RNA from 1 species
ACGCGGUUCCUUCCCUCCAACCUGACAACCAACAAAUACCCGAAUCUCUUAUGUAACACUUUUUUCAACAAUUGAUUGAUCAUUUGCUCAGUCAAAAUCAAUAUAAAUCCUUUCCAUUAUCUUCCCCAUUAAACCCUAACCCUAUACUCCGAUUGUUCUCUGAACGGGAAAAAGAUCAACCCAAGUUUAUGAAUUAAGCACUACGAAGUUCGA